AGUGAACGCUGGCGGCGGGCCUAACACAUGCAAGUCGAACGAGUGGAGGACGGGUGAGGAAGACAUCGGAAUCUACUCUGUCGUGGGGGAUAACGGAGGGAAACUUACGCUAAUACCGCAUACGAUGCAAUGGGCCGAUGUCGGAUUAGGUAGUUGGCGGGGUAAAGGCCCACCAAGGCGACGAUCCGUAGCGGGGCUGAGAGGAUGAUCAGCCACACUGGAACUGAGACACGGUCCAGACGCCUACGGGAGGCAGCAGUGGGGAAUAUUGGACAAUGGGCGCAAGCCUGAUCCAGCCAUACCGCGUGGGUGAAGAAGGCCUUCGGAUUGUAAAGCACUUUAAGUUGGGAGGCGUUACCAACAGAAUAAGCACCGGCUAACUCCGUGCCAGCAGCCGCGGUAAUUC
rnacentral:rRNA from 1 species